rnacentral:lncRNA from 1 species
UGUAUGUUUGUAUGUGUGUGUGUAUGUGUGUGUGUGUGUCUAUAUAUAUAUAUAUAUAUAUAUAUUAGUAAUUAAUUGCUAUGCUAUAAAUGAAAACACUACUGUUUCAAGUUUAACAUUAAUGAAUGUUUCAAAUGUUAAUAUAUUUGGUUCCAACCUAAAUACAAAAUAAUCCUAGAAGCUGGAAUAUAAAGAUUGCUAUUUCUUUCCCGUUUAGGAAAGUAAUAAUUUGUUGAAACUUCUUAUUGGUCGACAAUCAGAAACUUUGUUUACAUCCCCUCUUCUAAACACAAUCCGUUUGUUUUGUAAAGUUCAACUCAAGAAAAGUAUUGCAAUAUGUGUGAAGUUCUUCGCUACCCUUAGUAUUUGCUAAAACCAAUAAGAAAGAAUGGGUGCAAUGUAAUUUAUCAGAUAAUGACUUUCACAUAAAUGAAAAUUCCCAAUAUACCUUCGGAUUGCAAUGGAGUUGACCUGACCAUAAGAAAUUACUUCAAUUUUACCGCAAAGGUUCCAAUAAAAAUAGUACUACCAAAAGUCUGAAUUAGAAGUGCAGGAUAUACUUGUUGCAUAUAGAAAACAAUAUGGAAUGCACCUAACAGGCCAAAAAAAAGGAUCCGUAAGAAUAAACAACAAAAAAAUAGUACACUGACAACAAUGAGCAAUAAGCAUCAGAAAAAAGGAGAACAAACAAUAAAAGCAAUGGAACUGACCUGACCAUACGAAGUUACUUCAAUUUUACCGCAAAGGCUCCAAUAAAAAUAGUACUACCAAAAGUCUGAAUUAGAAGUGCAGGAUAUACUUGCUGCAUAUAGAAAAGCAAUAUGGAAUGCAUAGAACAGGCCAAAAAAAGGAUUCAUAAGAAUAAACAACAAAAAAACAGUACACUGACAACAAUGAGCAAUACGCAUCAGAAAUAACAGGCCAAAAAAAGGAUCUGUAAGAAUAAACAACAAAAGAAUAGUACACUGACAACAAUGUGCAAUAAGCAUCAGAAAAAAGGAGAACAAACAAUAAUUAAUAGCACUCCUAGUAAUCAUAAUAAAAGGUAUGUAUUACCUGUAUUAGCAGUAGGAUUAUUAUUGUUUGAUGGAUCAGAUGAUCGGCUUGCUUGAGUAGAAGCACCUGUAAUUGUAGUUUGUCUAGAGACACGUCCGCCCGAUGCCAUUGAUUUGUAG